GUCCUCCCCGAGAUGGCGGGUCUGACAGCGGUAGUCCCGCAGCCUGGCGUCUUGCUGAUCCUCUUGCUCAACCUCCUCCAUCCCGCGCAGCCUGGAGGUAAGGGGCCCCUCGCCGGUCCCACGCUGCCCCUCGCUGGUCCCACGCUGUCCACAAUCUGCGGGACCCUGCCGGCCAGGUGGCAAGACUGAUGGGGAAUCCCGGAGAUGGAUGAGCCCUUCAGCUCCAGAUCCCCCCUCCUCGAGACAGGGAGGGUUCUGGGAACUGUCUCCUCUUGGGAGCCAGCUCCGUGUUAGGGGUCCUGUCAAAGCUACACUCCCGCCAGUCAGGAUGGUCCCUACCUCCUGUCCAAGCUCGAAGGGGUCCUCUGAGUCACCUGAGUACUUUCCAGUGGUGGUGGCAGUUUGCAUACCUGUGCACACCUGUGUACAUACCAGCCUGGGGAGAGACAAUCCUGGUUUGUCUUUGCUUGGAGAUGUUCGGAUUCUGUGUGUGUGUGUGUGUGUGUGUGUGUGUGUGUGUGUGUGUGUGUGUAUGCGCCCGUGUGUGUUUCAUACUAUGUUGCACAGGUGUCAGUGUGAGGUUCUAGCCAAGCAUGUCCCUGAAGGAAAUGUGUCUGGGAUGGUAUGAAGGUCUGUUCACAAGUCCGUUCCUAGACAGAUGGAGGUACAGGGAGGCAAACCGUGAAGUUGUGUGAUGGGAUCUGCCAAAGUCCAACACCCAGCUGGGCGUGGUGAGCCACACCUGUGACCCCCAACAUGUAAGUUCAAAGCCAACCAGACCCCGUCUCAAGAGCAACCAGGAGGGUUGAGGACGUCCCUGUUGAUGGAAGGCAUGCUAAACAUUCUCAAAGCUCUGAGUAAACUAGGUGGGCGUGGUGACACAUACCUGUGUGGUGGUCAUCGGAGGAUCAGGAAUUCAAGACAUCAUUGGCUACCUAGUGAGCCAUUUGGGUUCUAUCAGGCUGUCUUAAAAAAAAAAUGUCCUAAAGACGUCUGGUGCCCAGGUGUAGGACGUCACUGUGUGUGUGUGAGCGUGAGCGAGUCCAUGCCUGUAUGAGGGUUUGCUGAGAUGGAAUACAGGCCAGAGCGUGAGCUGGGGAAAGUGCCCAUCUCCUGGCAAUCAGGACAUGGCUGGUAUCAGAGGCUGAGCCUCAAGGUAUCCUUUUGGUCAUCUGAUAUGUAUCCUGACCGGGCAUGUUGGGUUAUGGGGAGGAAGGAGUCUGCUCCCAGAUGAAAGGUGCAUCCAGCUGUGGGGAAAGAGGUGUGAACCUAUGAACCAUCUGCUGGGGUCUGGUUUCCCUAAGAGACCUCAUUGUUGUGGGAACCUGAACUUGGACUGGGGACAGGAGGCUACAGGGCGGGGUUGGACAGGGCUGUGGUCAGAGACUGAAUAAGAACAGCAUCUGUCCCAUGAGACUUACUUGCUGGGGGCUAGGAGCCCACUGUAGAACAAGAGUUCCAGGGCUGGAACGAGACUGAGGUUUGUGGGUACCAACGGGAGGACCCAUUAAAGAGCAGUGUCUCUGGGUCACCUGACCCUCCUGCCCCAGAUGUGGUCUCGUAACAUUUGCCCACCCUUCUCCCUGGAUGGUUAUACUAGUUCAUCAUAAAGAAACUGUUUAUCUUUACAAAUAGGGAAGCUGAAGUUAGGCAUGAAAAACCACACCUGACACAGGAUGCUAUCGAGUCGAGGGCAGCCUGAGCUAUAGUGAGAUCUUGUCUCAGUAUCAUCUACAAGCAGGCUAGAGGCGUGGCUCGCCUAGGAGAGUUCUCAUUUGCACACUCGGAGCUCUGCAUUCUAUCCCCAGCACCACAUUAAACCAGAGGUGGUGGCUCAUGCCUGUGGUCCCAGCUCUCAGGAGGAGGAAGCAGAAAAGUUAGGAGUUCAAGGUCAUGCUUAACUGUAUAGGGAGUUCAAGGCUAGCCUAGGCUACAUAACCCAGUUCUUGAAAGGUACAGAAUUAGAGUCUGGGAUAGGCUAAAGCUGUCCCUGGAAGCUAAUAUCAACUAGCUUUCUGCCCUGGGGGGAGGUGCCAGGGAAUAUUAGGAAGAUACAGCCCUGGGGCGGAGUCUUCCUUUAAGGACAGAACAAUCCCUCCUCCCUUGCAGCCUGGGUGAUAUCACUCCAUAUUCAGUUGCCAUUAUUCCCUAUGACGAGAAACCUAAACUCUGUCCCAGGUGGUCAGAGUCACCGGGUUCAAGUAAGAGGCAUGUGAAUUGAUGCCUUUCAGGAUCUGUUCAGACUCCACUGAAGUCCAAAGAGGUCAGAGUCCUGGGAGGAGUUGGCCACUGGUCACAUAUACCUAGUCCCCCACCUGUCUGAUCCUAGUGAUCCCUUGUCACUGACGGAGGUAGUAAUAGCAUUUCCUUUGAAUACUGGCUUGCUUCAGCCUCUAUGCUAAAAGGGUUGUAUGAGCCAGGUAUGGUGGCCCAGAAACUGUGCUACAGAGUAAGUUCCAAGGCAGCCUCUGCUAUGUAGUAAGACCCUACCCACCCACCCCCAACCCAAAAGAAAGUAAAAGGUCACC
rnacentral:lncRNA from 1 species